rnacentral:rRNA from 1 species
AACGAACGCUGGCGGCAUGCCUAACACAUGCAAGUCGAACGAGAGCUCCGGGUGUAGUGGCGCACGCGGGCGUAGCGCGGCGGAACCUGCCCUUAGGUUUGGAAUAAUUCUCCGUAGGGGGUGAUAAUACCGGGUAAUGUCUUCGAACCAAAGAUUGGUCGCGUUUGGUGGGGCGGGAGUUGGAUUGGCCGGUUGCUAGGGUAAGAGCCUACCAAGGCGUGGUUCCAUAGCUGGUCAGUGAGGAUGAUCACCCACACUGGGACUGAGACACGGCCCAGAAUCCUACGCGAGGCAGCAGAGGGGGAUCCUGGACAAUGGGCGAAAGCCAGAACCAGCUAUGCUUGGUGAGUGAUUAAGGCCUGAGAGAUGUAAAGCUCUUUUACCCGGGAUGGUAAUGACGGUACCGAAAGAAUAAGCACCGGCUAACUUCGUG